AUGGCUCUCACCAGAAUUGGUCUCGCUGGCCUCGCGGUCAUGGGCCAGAACCUUGCCCUCAACAUUGCCGAGAAAGGCUUCCCCAUCUCUGUCUACAACAGGACAACGUCCAAGGUCGAUGAGACUGUUCAGCGUGCCAAGCUAGAAGGAAACCUUCCUCUCUAUGGUUUCCAUGACCCUGCAUCCUUUGUCAACUCCAUUCAGAAGCCACGUGUCGUCAUCAUGCUUGUCAAGGCUGGUGCUCCGGUCGACCAGACCAUCGCAACGCUCGCAGCACACCUGGAGCAAGGUGACUGCAUCGUUGACGGAGGAAACGAGUGGUAUGAGAACACAGAAAGGAGGGAGAAGGCCAUGGAGGAGCGUGGACUCCUCUACUUAGGGAUGGGUGUCUCCGGAGGAGAGGAGGGUGCCCGCCAUGGCCCCUCCAUGAUGCCUGGAGGCUCACUGGAGGCUUACCAGUACAUUGAAGACAUUCUUCUCAAGGUGUCUGCUCAAGUCCCUGACAGCGGUCCGUGUGUCACAUACAUUGGGAAGGGUGGAUCUGGAAACUUUGUCAAGAUGGUUCACAAUGGUAUCGAGUACGGUGACAUGCAGCUGAUCGCUGAGGCAUAUGAUGUUCUCAAGUCGGUUGGUAAGCUCACAAACGGUGAGCUGCAGCAGGUUUUCGCCGAGUGGAACAAGGGUGAGCUCCUCAGUUUCUUGGUCGAGAUCACUGCUGAUAUAUUCAGCAUCAAGGAUGACCAGGGUGAAGGCUACUUGGUCGACAAGGUCCUGGACAAGACUGGGAUGAAGGGAACCGGCAAGUGGACAGUGCAGCAGGCUGCUGAGCUCUCAGUGGCUGCUCCUACCAUUGAGGCGUCCUUGGAUUCCAGGUUCCUCAGCGGGUUGAAGGACGAGAGGGUGGCUGCUUCCAAGAUCUUCCAAGGUGACUACAGCAGCGGCGAAACUGUGGACAAGGCGCAGCUCAUCGAGGAUGUGAGGAAAGCUCUGUAUGCCUCCAAGAUCUGCAGCUAUGCCCAGGGCAUGAACAUCAUCAAGGCCAAGAGCGUGGAGAAGGGAUGGGGCCUGAACCUGGGCGAGCUGGCCAGGAUCUGGAAGGGCGGGUGCAUCAUCCGCGCCAGCUUCCUGGACCGCAUCAAGAAGGCGUACGACAGGAACGGCGAGCUCGCGAACCUCCUCAUCGACCCCGAGUUUGCGCAGGAGAUCAUGGACAGGCAGGCCGCAUGGAGGAGGGUCGUGUGCCUCGCCAUCAACAACGGCGUGAGCACCCCCGGCAUGUCGGCGAGCCUGGCCUACUUUGACUCGUACAGGAGGGAGAGGCUUCCCGCGAACCUCGUGCAGGCCCAGAGGGAUUACUUUGGGGCGCACACCUACGAGAGGGUCGACAUGCCGGGAUCCUUCCACACCGAGUGGUACAAGAUCGCCAACUCGAAGAUCUAA
rnacentral:rRNA from 1 species